rnacentral:rRNA from 1 species
UACGUAGGGGGCAAGCGUUGUUCGGAAUUACUGGGCGUAAAGGGUUCGUAGGUGGCCAACUAAGUCAGACGUGAAAUCCCUCAGCUUAACCGAGGAACUGCGUCCGAUACUGAAAGGCUUGAAUCCGGGAGAGGGAUGUGGAAUUCCAGGUGUAGCGGUGAAAUGCGCAGAUAUCAGGAGGAACACCGGUGGCGAAGGCGGGUCUCUGGGCCGUAACUGACGCUGAGGAGCGAAAGCAUGGGGAGCGAACAGG